rnacentral:tmRNA from 1 species
GGGGGCGUUUUGGAUUCGACGGGGAGUGUUCGGAUAGCAGCAGCAGGUCGAGGAUUCCGCUUGGCCUCGUAAAAAAAGCGGAGAAACUGUACACGCGAACAAAGAACUCGCAAUCGCUGCUUAAAUGCAGUCCGUCCUGUAAGCUUCCGCCGGUGGAGUUUAUAAGGGCGUCAAAAGAGCCGGCUACUGACCGCCUGAAGCUCGUAAGGCGUAAAGGAAUCUUAACGAGCUGGAAGAAACUGAUCCUGUUGAAGGGAGCGGUUCUCUUCGAGAAACAAAACUUCAACUAAGCUUGUAGAAGCUGCUGUCAGGGUCUCUUCGGACGCGGGUUCGAGUCCCGCCGCCUCCACCA